ensembl:lncRNA novel transcript
AAUGAUGGGUGUUGUGUUUCUGGCAUGGGUAGAGGGAUGCUACUAAACAUCCUACCGUGCACAGGAUGGCCCUCCACAAUGGAUUCUGUGGCCCCAAAUGUUAAUAGUGCCAAAGUUGAGAGACCCUGGGGUAGAGACGUGUGAUGGGAAGGAAAGAAAAUUACCUUUAGAGCUGCGCGCCGCGGCGGCGGAAGAUGGCUGCGGCCGAGUUGGCGGACACUCAGCUGAUGCUUGGAGUCGGGCUGAUCGAAAAGGACACAAAUGGAGAAGUUCUGUGGGUGUGGUGUUAUCCUUCCACGACAGCCACAUUAAGGAACCUGCUGCUGAGAAAAUGCUGCCUUACAGAUGAAAACAAACUUCUCCAUCCCUUUGUCUUUGGUCAGUACAGAAGAACAUGGUUUUAUAUCACAAUAAUUGAAGUUCCAGAUUCUUCCAUUUUGAAAAAGGUGACUCAUUUUUCUAUUGUCCUGACCGCCAAAGAUUUUAACCCAGAGAAGUAUGCUGCCUUCACUAGGAUAUUGUGUAGAAUGUACCUGAAACAUGGGAGCCCAGUUAAAAUGAUGGAGAGUUAUAUUGCAGUUCUCACAAAGGGGAUAUGCCAGAGUGAAGAAAACGGCUCUUUCCUUAGUAAGGAUUUUGAUGCCCGAAAGGCCUACCCGGCUGGCUCCAUCAAAGACAUUGUAUCUCAGUUUGGAAUGGAAACUGUUAUCUUACACACAGCACUGAUGCUAAAGAAAAGAAUUGUGGUGUAUCACCCCAAGAUAGAAGCGGUCCAGGAGUUCACCAGGACUCUGCCUGCCCUGGUGUGGCACCGACAGGACUGGACCAUCCUUCACUCUUACGUGCACCUCAACGCCGAUGAGCUGGAAGCCCUGCAGAUGUGCACAGGUUACGUCGCUGGAUUUGUAGACUUGGAGGUGAGCAACAGACCAGACCUCUAUGAUGUGUUUGUGAAUCUGGCAGAGAGUGAGAUUACCAUUGCUCCCCUUGCAAAAGAGGCCAUGGCAAUGGGCAAACUGCACAAAGAAAUGGGUCAGCUAAUUGUUCAGUCUGCAGAAGAUCCAGAGAAAUCAGAGAGCCAGGUUAUACAGGAUAUUGCUCUAAAAACAAGAGAAAUCUUUACCAACCUAGCACCGUUUUCAGAAGUUUCGGCUGAUGGAGAAAAGAGAGUCCUUAAUUUGGAGGCGCUAAAGCAAAAACGAUUUCCACCAGCAACAGAAAACUUCCUUUAUCAUCUAGCAGCAGCCGAACAAAUGCUGAAAAUCUGACUGUGUGACAGAACGUAUCACUGAUGACUGAUAGAAAGCCCUCUUUCACUCUGAUUACCCACUCACUACAUGAAGUCCUGAAAAUAACAGAGAAACUGUUAUAUCUUUUUAAUGAUUUAUUUGCAAGUAUUGAGAUUUGACCUGAAAAACAAUGAAACACAUGAACACACUUCCGAUUUUCUCCUCGCUGAUUAGCUUCCUGCCUGCUGUCAGUGCUGGACGAAGUGCUAUAACUACUUUAUGUAACAUUACAGAACAGCUAGAGGUCCUGGGGUAAGAGGAAAAAAGCACAUCACGACAAAUGUGAAAGCCUUCAUUAUUACACGUUCCAGUUUGUCUCGCUGUGUAGGCAUAAG